UCCAGGGUAGCCUAGUGGACAUGGCAUCUGCCCGGUAAGCGGAACAUUGUGGGAUCGAUUCCCAUCCCUGGAC
rnacentral:tRNA from 1 species